UUUGAGGUUAUGAACCAUCUUAUGAUGAUCUAUUUUAUCUGUCUCCAUUUACUCAGUUUUAGAUAUUUUAGAUGAUAUUUGUUUACUCACUGGGAUUAUAUAAUCUCAUCACCCUCCUUUCCACCCAUUUCAGGUUCAGGAUAGUUUGUAGAUAGCUGAUAUCGUCGAAGGCUACAAUUGGCUUUACUUCCUCAAAAAUCGUAGGUUCACAGCCUUCGUUCACUUUUGUCAUUUGGGGGCUCACAUGUAAUUGUAAAUUAAAUUAUAUACCUUG
rnacentral:lncRNA from 1 species